rnacentral:rRNA from 1 species
UACGUAGGGGACGAGCGUUGUCCGGAAUCAUUGGGCGUAAAGAGCGUGUAGGCGGCCUUUCAAGUCCUGCGUGAAAUCUCGGGGCUCAACCCCGAGCGGUCGUGGGAAACUGGGAGGCUAGAGUGCGGGAGAGGAGAGUGGAAUUCCCAGUGUAGCGGUGAAAUGCGCAGAUAUUGGGAAGAACACCCGUGGCGAAGGCGGCUCUCUGGAACGCAACUGACGCUGAGACGCGAAAGCGUGGGGAGCAAACAGG